GUAAGGUACUGACUACAUUACAGGGUAGUGAUCAAUAGAUGGGGAAAGGUACUGACUACAUUACAGGGUAGUGAUCAAUAGACGGGGUAAGGUACUGACUACAUUACAGGGUAGUGAUCAAUAGAUGUGGAAAGGUAAGGUACUGACUACAUUACAGGGUAGUGAUCAAUAGAUGGGGUAAGGUACUGACUACAUUACAGGGUAGUGAUCAAUAGACGGGGAAAGGUACUGACUACAUUACAGGGUAGUGAUCAGUAGAUGGGGAAAGGUAAGGUACUGACUACAUUACAGGGUAGUGAUCAAUAGACGGGGAAAGGUAAGGUACUGACUACAUUACAGGGUAGUGAUCAAUAGACG
rnacentral:lncRNA from 1 species